rnacentral:rRNA from 1 species
GACGAACGCUGGCGGCGUGCUUAACACAUGCAAGUCGAACGGAAAGGCCCUGCUUUUGUGGGGUGCUCGAGUGGCGAACGGGUGAGUAACACGUGAGUAACCUGCCCUUGACUUGGGGAUAACUUCAGGAAACUGGGGCUAAUACCGGAUAGGAGCUCCUGCUGCAUGGUGGGGGUUGGAAAGUUUCGGCGGUGGGGGAUGGACUCGCGGGUUAUCAGCUGGUUGGUGGGGUAGUGGCUUACCAAGGCUUUGACGGGUAGCCGGCCUGAGAGGGUGACCGGCCACAUUGGGCCUGCGAUACGGCGCAGACUCCUACGGGAGGCAGCAGUGGGGAAUAUUGCACAAUGGGCGGAAGCCUGAUGCAGCAACGCCGCGUGCGGGAUGACGGCCUUCGGGUUGUAAACCGCUUUCGCCUGUGACGAAGCGUGAGUGACGGUAAUGGGUAAAGAAGCACCGGCUAACUACGUG